rnacentral:rRNA from 1 species
AGGGAAUCUUCCGCAAUGGGCGAAAGCCUGACGGAGCAACGCCGCGUGAGUGAUGAAGGUCUUCGGAUCGUAAAACUCUGUUAUUAGGGAAGAACAUAUGUGUAAGUAACUGUGCACAUCUUGACGGUACCUAAUCAGAAAGCCAUGGCUAACUACGUGCCAGCAGCCGCGGUAAUACGUAGGUGGCAAGCGUUAUCCGGAAUUAUUGGGCGUAAAGCGCGCGUAGGCGGUUUUUUAAGUCUGAUGUGAAAGCCCACGGCUCAACCGUGGAGGGUCAUUGGAAACUGGAAAACUUGAGUGCAGAGGAGGAAAGUGGAAUUCCAUGUGUAGCGGUGAAAUGCGCAGAGAUAUGGAGGAACACCAGUGGCGAAGGCGACUUUCUGGUCUGUAACUGACGCUGAUGUGCGAAAGCGUGGGGAUCAAACAGGAUUAGAUACCCUGGUAGUCCACGCCGUAAACGAUGAGUGCUAAGUGUUAGGGGGUUUCCGCCCCUUAGUGCUGCAGCUAACGCAUUAAGCACUCCGCCUGGGGAGUACGACCGCAAGGUUG